rnacentral:rRNA from 1 species
AUUCCAGCUCCAAUAGCGUAUAUUUAAGUUGUUGCAGUUAAAAAGCUCGUAGUUGGAUUUCGGAUGGGUUUGACCGGUCCGCCUUUGGUGUGCACUGGUCGCGCCUAUCUUGCUGUCGGGGACGCGCUCCUGGCCUUAAUUGGCUGGGACGCGGAGUCGGCGAUGUUACUUUGAAAAAAUUAGAGUGUUCAAAGCAGGCCUAAGCUCUGAAUACAUUAGCAUGGAAUAACGCUAUAGGACUCUGGUCUUAUUGCGUUGGUCUUCGAGACCGGAGUAAUGAUUAAUAGGGACAGUCGGGGGCAUUUGUAUUCAAGCGACAGAGGUGAAAUUCUUGGACCGUUUGAAGACAAACUACUGCGAAAGCAUUUGCCAAGAAUGUUUUCAUUA